GCAAGGAAAAAGAGAUAUCAAGUUGGUUAGUAAUUUUUUCUUCUUAUUUUACCGUUUAUUUAAACUAUUAAAUUUAUAAUGGUAAUUUUCUUUAUCAAUAAAAUAAAUAAACAAUUUGGCAUCUUCAAUUUUUUUGUAAACCUUCUGAAAUUUCUUAUUCAUUAUAGUCUCAAGUUGAGAUAAAAACCCUCUAAAUCCACCUCGAAAAAGAGGCAAUAAAACUGAGAAGCCUCCCUCUUCCUCUAAGAAACCAAAACAUGUUCAUUUAUUUUCAAAUAAGUAUGAUAAAAAGAAUUAUCAAGAAAACUAAACUCUAGCUAAUACAUAUUGUUGUAGGAAUAUACUUUGAUUUUAAGAGCCAAGCAUAAUCUGGUUGGAGUAGGGGUGGUUUUACCAUCCGGCGAGCCUGGCACAUGCACUAUUAAACUCGCCGCUAAAUCCAUCGGAAAAGCUUUGAACAUUCCAAACAUUGGUGAGGAAAUGUGUAAAGAAUCAUUGUAUUCUCAAGUCAUCAAAGAUUACAUUGUCUCUGAAAUUCUCAAGAAUCUUGAUGAGACUUGUAGAGCUUCAAAUCUCAAGAAUCUUCCAAAAAUUCUUCACAACUUUCACUCCUUAAAACCAAAAGUUGGAAGUCUUGAGAGAGUGGCACAAACAUACUCAUUAUAGAUAUACCAUCUCAUGAACAAGAAACCAUUGAAUCUAAACUAUAUCAUUAUGCGUCACAUGAUAGAUGCAGCUAGCUAAGAAUUCAAAGCAAAUUUUUCAAAUAUUUCAAGGUAACACUUGAAGAUGAAAAAUCAAGCAAUUUUUUAAGGAGAAAUCCUUCAGAAGACGAUCAAUUUAAUCAAAAUUAGAAUGAUAUUUUGAAGGAGAAAUCGUUCAGAACACUUAUGAAGACGGUCAUGAUGCUCCCAAAGAAUACCAAACAUCUAGUCAUCAGGACAAAACAUCUGGACC
rnacentral:lncRNA from 1 species